GUCUACAGCCAUGCUGCCCCGAACAAGCCCAAGCCCAUCUGAUCUCAGAAGCUAAGCAGAGUCAGGCCUGGUUAGUACUUGGAUGGGAGAUCUCCUGAGAAGACCUGGUGCUGUAGGUG
rfam:Pteropus alecto contig17969, whole genome shotgun sequence.